UACGGAGGGUGCAAGCGUUAUCCGGAUUCACUGGGUUUAAAGGGUGCGUAGGCGGGCAGGUAAGUCAGUGGUGAAAUCUCCGAGCUUAACUCGGAAACUGCCGUUGAUACUAUUUGUCUUGAAUAUUGUGGAGGUAAGCGGAAUAUGUCAUGUAGCGGUGAAAUGCUUAGAUAUGACAUAGAACACCAAUUGCGAAGGCAGCUUACUACACAAUCAUUGACGCUGAGGCACGAAAGCGUGGGGAUCAAACAGG
rnacentral:rRNA from 1 species